rnacentral:rRNA from 1 species
CAGCCGCCACGGGAAAACGGAGGGUGCAAGCGUUAUCCGGAUUUAUUGGGUUUAAAGGGUCCGUAGGCGGAUCUGUAAGUCAGUGGUGAAAUCUCACAGCUUAACUGUGAAACUGCCAUUGAUACUGCAGGUCUUGAGUAAAUUUGAAGUGGCUGGAAUAAGUAGUGUAGCGGUGAAAUGCAUAGAUAUUACUUAGAACACCAAUUGCGAAGGCAGGUCACUAAGAUUUAACUGACGCUGAUGGACGAAAGCGUGGGGAGCGAACAGGAUUAGAUACCCCAGUAGUCCCUGUCUCUUAUAC